ACGGCUCAGUAAUGUUGCGAUGAUCUGCUCUAGUUGUGUAAGAUAACCGCGGAAACCUGUGGCUAAGAGACUAGAAUGAGACGCAACCCUAUCAGUUUGUUGGUAGUGUAACGGACUACCAAGACUAUGACGGGUGACGGGAAAUCAGUGUUUGAUUCCGGAGAGGGAGCCUGAGAGAUGGCUCCCACGUCCAAGGAUGGCAGCAGGCGCGAAAAUUGUCCACUCUUUGUUGAGGAGACAGUUAUGAGGCGUGAUUGUAAGAGCGAAGAGUAAACAUCUUUGUGUAAUGCAACUAGAGGGCAAGUUUUGGUGCCAGCAGCCGCGGUAACUCCAACUCUAGAAGUGCCUAUUGUGGAUGCUGCAGUUAAAAAGUCCGUAGUCGUUGAUGCAAUUAAAAGGUGUAGAUCAAGUGCACCAAGUUUGUUAGUUGUGGCGGAGCGGACAGGGAGCAUGGUAUAGGUUGGCGAAGAAUGAAAUCUCAAGACCCAACCUGGACCAACUGAGGCGAAAGCGGUGCUCUUGUACGCGUCUGUGGAUCAAGGACGAAGGCUAGAGGAUCGAAAGUGAUUAGACACCGCUGUAGUUCUAGCAGUAAACUAUGCCGACAUUCUCUGUUGUUGAGACGGGGAGGGGAGAAAUCUUAGUUUUCGGGCUCUGGGGAUAGUACGCUUGCAAGAGUGAAACUUAAAGCGAAAUUGACGGAAGAUCACCACAAGGAGUGGAUUGUACUGCUUAAUUUGACUCAACACGGGAAAACUUACCAGGGCCAAGUCUCUCGUAGAUUGGCGACAUGAGAGGGGCAAGAGUGGUGCAUGGCCGUUGGAAAUUGAUGGGAUGACCUUUAGCUUAAGUGCUGUAACCAGUGAGAUCUUCUAGACAGGUGUCUUACUGACACAGGAAGGAGAAGGCUAUAACAGGUCCGUGAUGCCCUCAGAUGCCCUGGGCCGCAAGUGCAAUACAAUAUCCGUUUGAGCGACAUAAAUAUGCUUACGGAUGAGUAGGAUUAGCUCUUGUAAAUGAGCUAUGAAUGAGGAAUUCCUAGUAACUGUGUCUCAUCAAGGCACAGUGAAUGCGUCCCUGUUCUUUGUACACACCGCCCGUCACUAUUGCGGAUGGCAAUCAAGAUGAAGAGCC
rnacentral:rRNA from 1 species